UACUCAAAUUUCAAUCAACUUUAGAUCUAAUGAAAAAAUUUACAUUUAACGGUUUCUCAAUUUUGUAUUUCUAGCACCUUUCAAUUAGUAUUUACGAAGUAAACUAAAAUUAUGCUAUAUAUGGUGAGGAAAUAGUGUAUUAUCACACUGGUGCUACUUAGAGUAAUUUGUGGAAAUAUAAAAUUAUUUCAUACUGCUUAGUAAUUUGUGCAUUUGUUGAGAAGAUAUUUGUUUUACUUUGCGCGUCAUAACAACGGCAAUGACCACA
rnacentral:lncRNA from 1 species